GUGCCAGCAGCCGCGGUAAUACGUAGGGUGCGAGCGUUAAUCGGAAUUACUGGGCGUAAAGGGUGCGCAGGCGGCGCCGCAAGUCAGGCGUGAAAUCCCCGGGCUUAACCUGGGAAUUGCGCUUGAAACUAUGGUGCUGGAGUGUGGCAGAGGGAGGUGGAAUUCCACGUGUAGCGGUGAAAUGCGUAGAGAUGUGGAGGAACACCGAUGGCGAAGGCAGCCUCCUGGGCCAACACUGACGCUCAUGCACGAAAGCGUGGGGAGCAAACAGGAUUAGAUACCCUGGUAGUCC
rnacentral:rRNA from 1 species